UACCUACGGGACGCAGCAGUGAGGAAUAUUGGUCAAUGGACGGAAGUCUGAACCAGCCAUGCCGCGUGCAGGAAGACGGCUCUAUGAGUUGUAAACUGCUUUUGUACAAGGGUAAACCUGAAUACGUGUAUUCAGCUGAAAGUACUGUACGAAUAAGGAUCGGCUAACUCCGUGCCAGCAGCCGCGGUAAUACGGAGGAUCCAAGCGUUAUCCGGAUUUACUGGGUGUAAAGGGCGCGUAGGCGGACUGUCAAGUCAGUCGUGAAAUACCGAAGCUUAACUUCGGGGCUGCGAUUGAAACUGCCA
rnacentral:rRNA from 1 species